UUUUUUGCUUGUAAGGCUUUGAUUUCCUUAUGACAGAGGGUGACCCAAAUUAUAUUCUUCAGUAGGAACAGAUUUGUAAAAAGCACCUUAACGCCUGCCCCAAGGAUUGUAAAUAAGGACAACAGCCUUCAGACCCGGAACUUUGGAAGGCCUCCAAGGGCUGCACGUGCUUUGAUGAAGAGGAAGAUGAUGAAAGAGGGGUCCCAAACUCCCCCAGACUCAAUUCCCGAAGGGGUGUGCCAGGGUGCAGAAUGGGGCAGAGCCAGGAGGUGGACGAACAGGGACUGGAUGGACAUCAUUAUAAAAUUGUAACACCUGAGUCGAAACCGCACACACAACUGUUGUAUUCCCGGAGCCCAGUGGCUCAUUAAAGCUUUCUGCUUUCUUAUCUUAUCUUAUACCCUAA